rfam:Porphyrobacter dokdonensis DSW-74 DSW74_contig03, whole genome shotgun sequence.
GGGCGCGUAGCUCAGCGGUAGAGCACACCCUUCACACGGGUGGGGUCACAGGUUCAAUCCCUGUCGCGCCCA